GGAGAGUACAGCUCAGUGGCAAGGCACAUACUUAACAUGCAUGAGGUCCUGAGUUCAAUCCCCAGUACCUCCA
rfam:Camelus ferus unplaced genomic scaffold scaffold957, whole genome shotgun sequence.